UUACGCUGUCGUCAGCUUGUUUGCGGAAGUGAAUGUCCUUCCUUGUGUGUCUCGCCUCCUCUUCUAUGAAAACAAAUGCAAACCGCAGCAGAUGAUGACCCAGACGUCCAGUCCUCCGCCAGAGGAGUUGGUCAAACAGUGGGAAAGGGAGCAGGAGCGCCUCAGGCAGCAGGUGGUGGAGGACGACACUGAGGACUGGCAGAGGAGCCCGGGCUUCUGCGGCCUGCAGCGGGUCGGCGGCGUGGACCUCUCCUUCAUCAAAGGGGAUGAAGUCAACGCCUGUGCCCAGCUUGUGGUGCUCAGUUACCCCAGUUUGGAGGUUUUGUACGAAGACAGCCGAAUGGUGACCCUGACGGCCCCCUAUGUUUCCGGCUUCCUGGCCUUCAGGGAAACCCCUUUCCUCCUGGAGGCGCUGCAGCGACUCAGGACCGGCCAGCCUACACUUAUGCCUCAGGUGGUGUUUGUGGAUGGGAAUGGUCUCUUCCACUACAGAGAGUUCGGCCUGGCGUGUCACCUUGGAGUGCUGUCGGGUCUUCCCUGUGUGGGCGUGGCUAAGAACCUGCUGCAGGUGCAGGGUGUGUUUAAGGACGAGGAGCACCAAUCACAAAUCGCGGCUCUGCAAAAAGGAGGAGACAGUUUCCCACUCACCGUCGCCUCGGGCAAAGUGCUCGGAAAGGCCCUGCGAAGCUGCGAUAAGAGCUCCAAGCCGGUGUACGUCUCCGUGGGUCACAAGAUCAGCCUGGACACAGCCGUCCGCCUCACACACGCGUGCUGCCGCUACCGGGUGCCUGAGCCCAUAAGACAGGCGGAUGUUCGCUCCAGAGAGUACCUACGCAUACACUUCCCAGCUGCCGCUACAUGAACUGACACUGAGGUAUGGGAGGCUGUACGUGCUCUCAGGUGUUUCGCUGUGAUGCUUGGCAGCAUAAUGGGAUAUCCAUGUGCAUCCUCUUGCAAGCUCACCGCUGUGGCGAAUCCUCUGGCGGAGCUUUGAUCAUCCUUUCUACAAAGAGUUGGAGACAGGGAGCGAGGCUUUGUGCUGAGUUGGCAGAGGCAGCCCAUAGCAACAGCAUCAAUAAUUUCCGCUUCCCUCAUUCUUCAAAGAACCCGGAGCCUUUCCUUUCAGAAGAAUGGUACAAUAUCGCUUGACACUCGGCUGCCGGUGUGUCUGGAAGCCCAGCAAGGAAGGCUGAAACAAAGAGACACAGACGACACCACAGACGUUUCAUUUUUUUACUUUUUAUUGCUAUUUGGACAUACAUGUUUUUUUUGUUUUGUUUUUUUAGUCUUUGUCAUGGCAUCCACCUUGAACAUGUCGAUAGGACAAAUUGGUGCAUGUUCAUAAUUCUGCAGCCAUCUAAUUAGAAAUGAUCUAUAAUAGCCUAUUAGGGCAAGAGCGCUCAACUCUAAUUGUGUUAGUCAUAAGCUAUCAAAGCUAUUCUUGAAGGGAAGUGUUCAGCUCUCUUUCAUCAACCAUAACCUUUUGAUAGACAGCAGAGUCAAUGUCAAAAUGCAUCACUGCAAGCAGGCGUUAAAACACUGGGAGGAUGUUUUAUUACUGUCUGUUGAAAGAGAUUAACAGCAAAGCAGCACAUGUUUAAGGAGGAUGUAACAGAACAACCUUUUUUUAUGUCACGGUAUUCCUAGAUUAAAAGCAAUAAACUUUUAUCAUCAUUCUUUUUUGCUCCAACACACCAUGCAUUCUGUCAGAUACGAUGCAAACCCACAAGGCUUCCUACACUUCUCCAGGCCUGAUAAACUGUGUUUGAAAGUCAAGUUGGUAAAUGCUCGCGAUUAAAUGAUCUUAAGUCAAGUUUUGAAGUUU